AGGACGAACGCUGGCGGCGUGCUUAACACAUGCAAGUCGAGCGGUAAGGCCCUUUCGGGGGUACACGAGCGGCGAACGGGUGAGUAACACGUGAGUAAUCUGCCCUCCACUUGGGGAUAAGCUUCGGAAACGGGGUCUAAUACCUGAUACGACAACUACCUGCAUGGGUUGGUUGUGGAAAGUUUUUUCGGUGGGGGAUGUGCUCGCGGCCUAUCAGCUUGUGGUGGGUAAUGGCCUACCAAGGCUUCGAC
rnacentral:rRNA from 1 species